GACCGCUCCGGUGGCGUAAUAGUUAGAGCGUCCGCAAGUGAUGUGGGAGGUCACGGGUUCGAACCCCGACCGAGUCA